rnacentral:rRNA from 1 species
UACGUAGGGGGCAAGCGUUGUCCGGAUUUAUUGGGCGUAAAGAGCGUGUAGGCGGCCAGGUAGGUCUGCUGUGAAAACUCGAGGCUUAACCUCGAGCUGUCGGUGGAAACUGUCUGGCUAGAGUCCGGAAGAGGAGAGUGGAAUUCCUGGUGUAGCGGUGAAAUGCGCAGAUAUCAGGAAGAACACCUAUGGCGAAGGCAGCUCUCUGGGACGGUACUGACGCUGAGACGCGAAAGCGUGGGGAGCGAACAGG